UACAGAGGUCUCGAGCGUUGUUCGGAUUCAUUGGGCGUAAAGGGUGCGUAGGCGGCGCGGUAAGUCGGGUGUGAAAUCUUGGAGCUUAACUCCGAAACUGCAUUCGAUACUGCCGUGCUUGAGGACUGGAGAGGAGACUGGAAUUUACGGUGUAGCGGUGAAAUGCGUAGAUAUCGUAAAGAAGACCAGUGGCGAAGGCGGGUCUCUGGACAGUUCCUGACACUGAGGCACGAAGGCCAGGGGAGCAAACGGG
rnacentral:rRNA from 1 species